rnacentral:tRNA from 1 species
AGUAAAGUCAGCUAAUUAAGCUUCUGGGCCCAUACCCCUAAAAUGUUGGUUAAACCCCUUCCUCUACUA